GGAAUGAGCCGCGGCGGGGGCCGAGGGCCGUGCUCCGGGUGCAUAGGGAGGCUGCGGAGGUGAAGCCUCUGCUCCCUCGCCCGGCGGGAUGGAGGCUCUUGAUGCCGCAGAGGACGUGUUUUAUGAGGAGGAGGAGGAGGAGGUGAACUGCUACGAUUUCGAGCCUCUGCCGACGCUGCUGGAGGAUGAGGAGAAUGUGUCCCUUGCUGAUAUUUUGUCACUGCGGGAUAGCUCUCUUACUGAGCAAGAUAUUUGGGCAAUUUGCCUGGAGUGUUGCCAUUCUCUGAAGAGCAUUGCCCAUUCUGCAAUCUUCCAGACACUCUGCAUCACUCCUGACACUUUGGCUUUUAACACCAAUGGCAAUGUAUGCUUCAUGGAACAGCUCAGUGAUGAUCCAGAGGGUGCCUUUGUUCCACCAGAAUUCGAUAUCACCGGUAACACUUUUGAGGCACACAUCUACUCUUUGGGUGCAACACUGAAAGCAGCCAUAGAAUAUAUAGUAGAACCUGAGACAGAAUCAGAAUUUGGCCGAGAUCUGCACACUCUGCUGGAACAAAUGCAAGAAGAGAAUCCUGAAAAUAGGCCAGAUAUUGAGAGUAUUUUGUCAUUAUGUGAAGAAAAAAUGAAGAUUGCUUCAUCAAGUAAUAUUUGUCGAAGUCUGUCUGCUGUUGGAAGAAGAGUUCUUUCAAUUGAAUCAUUUGGUGCUUCUCAAGAUGUCUGUGAUAACAUGUGGAAGGGAAGAAUGUGUCAGAGAAGCUUGGGAUCUAAAUUGUAUUCAAAUGAGAAAAGCAACAUAGCAGGUGAUUCGUCUGCAGUGGAAGAUGUGACGACUACCUGUCAUAACAGCUCUUCUGUAGUUACCAUGGUGACUGCCAGAGAAAGUGGUUUAAAGGAAACGCAAAUUGAUCUGGAUAAUGACCAAACUCAACAUUCUCACCUUGCAACUCAAACUAAAAAGAGCAAAGAAGAGGAUAAACAUGCAAUGUAUGCUGACAGCUUUGCUAGUGUUGCUUUGGAUAUAAAAUCAUGUGUUAUUGACCUGGAGAGAGAUGGCAUUUUUAAGAAAGGUUCUUUGAGAAAAAUUAAAACCUUUCCAAAGCUACCACUUGAACCUGCAGAUACAAAUAACUUUUUUACUUCUGUAACCAACAGUGGACCACCAGCUAGGAAAAAUAACUUCCUAACACAAGAGUUACUACCUCUAGACAAUAAUAAUGAGGUUGCUUUUUCAAAGGGAAAUCUUAAUUCAUUUGCUAUUAGUAGUCCACCAGAAACAGAACCAAAGAAUCACCAGGUUGAUGAUCGUCAUUUAGAAGCUCCGUGUGUAUGCACACAGGUGUCUGGCUUGAAUCUAGAAGAACAUGUGUCACUUAUUAAUAGUAAAAAGAUAGGUUUUGCUUCAUCUGAUCACAAAGAAGACUGUUCUGGUGCUACCUGUCAAAUGCUAAAACCAGCUGGUAUGCUAAAAGGCCCAAAUCAGUCAAUUGCUGGAGCAAAAAUGCUAGACAAUUACCUGGCAUUGGAAGACUCUUCUGAAACUUUUCAAGGGUCAAAUGAAAAUUAUGUACCACAUUUUAACAAGAUGGAUUCAGUGUUAACAACAAAACCCCGUGGGAACAGACAUGGAUCAAACCUAAUUAGGUCGCCAGAAUUAAGCAACGGUGCAAUGAGUGCAAACAAUAAUGAAGAUAAUCUUUGUGGAGGCAGAGGUUCAGAAAUCAAAAGUAAUGAGCAGUGGAUCUCUCUAAAACUUCUGUUGUCCUCAUAUGGAAGACCUCUGAAAGAUUAUGAACUCUGGGCAUUAUGUCAUGAGUGUUUAUGUGCUCUACAGACUUGCAUAGAUUAUCCAGUGGUCUUAUGUUUGGACUCCGUGCUGAUUGACUACCAUGGAAAUAUCCUCUUUUCUGCUCCAAAAGGUGAAGAAUCUUGUGAUGUGUUUUAUUUAGCUCCUGAAAUUGAAGAAGAGGAUGUAGAUACUGAGAAGGUCUGCAUUUAUGGUGUUGCUGCAGUUCUAUGGAUGGCUGCAAAAUACAGUGUUCCACCAAGUCAUAAACUAGUAUUGCCAAGAAAAUUAAAAAAACUACUUCUGGAUAUGGCAAGAAAAAACCCUGAUGAAAGACCUUCUGUAGCUGCUGCAAUUAAGACAUGCAGUCAUUAUUUACUUGAACAAGGUAUAGACAGCAAAAAUAUUUUGAUCUUAUUGAGUAAAUCUGUCUUUGAGGCUGUUAAGGAAGAAGUCUUGUCCCAAGAUCAGCUUGCUUUUGAAUUUAAAAAUGAAAAACAUGAAAUGGAAAUGGACUCUUCAGAGUCAAGUCUAGGAUUUGUGCCUUUUACCAGUGAAAGUAAACUUGUAGCAGUUAAAGGACCAGUACCAUGCCAGAUUUCACUAAAUUGUGAGAAAGCUAGAUUACCUGUUGCAUUCACCUCUCCUGCAACUCACUUUAAGCCUAUUAUUCUGCAACAAGAUGCAAAUCUAACAAAAGAGGUUCAUGCACCAGUUUCUGAGCAAUUCAAGAAAGAGAAAAGAAAAGAAGACCAUAUGGACCACAACAACUCAGGAUAUGUAGAAGACUCUAAACGCUGUGGUAUUGAGUACACAGAUGUUGUUGAAACUGCACCUGAAACAUCUGAGUGUGAUUUACAAGUUCCAGGCCACUCAUUCCAGUUAUCCUCAGAAGAGCAAAAAUCAGUCAAUAUGUUUACUUCUUCAGUUACAUUACCAUCACCAUCAGAUUCCUCACAUAUUCUACAAGGAAAAAGCAUUUUAUCUGAAGAUCCUUCCAGCUCCUUAGCUUGUCCUACGUCUCCUAAUUUUCUUCAUAUAAAUAACAUAAUUCUCAAACAGGACUCAGAGAAAAGAGUGUUGACAUUUGUACCGGUACAUUUAGCUGUAUCAGAGCAAAUACAAAAUAAGCCUCUUCGUUCCAGAAUUGCUUAUGAUUGUUAUCAUAGUUUGCCAGUGUUACUUUCAAGUACUAUUGCAAGUUAUAAAAUGAGCAUGCAAACAGAAGAUGCUUCCCUUGGUAAUGUGCAAAGUCAUGAGACUACUGACACACAGAACAAGUUUGAUAAAAGAAGCCCAGUUAUUCAAACCAACUGCCAAGAAACUGAGUGUGCUACCAGUGUAGACAGUAUUUUCACUGAACAAGAACACACACCAUGUACCUCAGUGAAUAAAGACAAUUAUAAUUUCUUUGAUGAUAAAGUCCUACCCCAUCAGAACAGAACAAGUGAUGCUUUACUUCAGAAAGUGAUUCAUCUUAUACAAGAGGAGUUUGCAUUUGAUGGCUAUCUAGAGAAUGGAGCUGAAGUUUUUGAUAUGGGUAACUUCAUUUUAAACUUAAAGGAAAUUAAGUUUGGUGUGUUCUCUGAUAGAAUUUGUGAGAAGUUUUGUGACCUAUACUGGGAUGAAAAAUUACUGGAGAAUCUCUAUCAGGUAGUAAAUGGAGAAAGAUCUUCACACUUAUGCAUAACUGAGGCAAGUGAUGCAAAAUGUGGCAAUAUAUUCCAAGAUCGGAACAAAUCCGAAAGCUUUUUGGCAAGCAGUGACCAGACAGAGGAAAAAGAGGAAGCAAAUCUUGAUGUGAAGGCUGAGCCUCUGAUAAAUACAUCAUUAGUUGAAAUGGAUUUUGAUGAGUCACCUUCAGACAAUAUCAAAAAAGAAUUGAGACUGCAGAGUACUAUCCCCAUAGAGAAAGAGGGACAACGUCUACAGAGCAACAGCUGUUAUAUUGGUCCAGACUUUGCAGAAGAAAAUACAAGGCCAGAGGAAGAGGCCACGAUAAAGAUAGCUGGAAACAGCUACCUGGCAUCUCCCAGUCUACCUGACUUUAAUGGCUGUAGUCCUGGUUGGAGCAGUGCCUUUUAUGGAGCUGAAUGUUUUGAUGCAGAAGUUCAUAGUUACUUGAAAAACCUUGGAAAGCAGAAAUCAAGUGAGUCACAAAAUAUAGAUGCUAAAAAAGUGGAACUAGAACAAUUGCUAAUGAUGGAAACAAAAAAUUACAGAAAGACUAUAAAGUUUUACCAGAAACUAUUGCAGAAAGAAAGAAGAAGCAAAGGUCCUGAAACUAAAUCUAUGUUGCCCAAAUUGAGAGGACAGCUACAGGAAAUGAAAUCAAAAGUGCAGUUUCUUGAACUGGUAAAGAAAUAUGUUCAGAUGAUGUAUGCAGAGCAGUGGGGUGUGGAAUCCUGUGUGCUGCCUACGGUAAUUCACAACGGGAAAACUGACACCAUGGACACGGCACCUGUGGAUGAAUCAUCAUUGCUUCUUUACUAUAACACAGAGAAACACCAGUGUAAUAAUCAAAAUGGAGUGAGAGUUCUGCAGGCUGGUACACCACUUGGUUUAAUGGCUUAUUUAUAUUCUAGAAAUGCAUUUUUAGAAGGUUAUGUACAGCAGUUUCUCUACACAUUUCGCUAUUUCUGCACACAAGAAGAGUUUUUGCAGUUUCUUCUUGAUAGAAUCAGCAGCACUUUAUCCAGUGCAAGCCUGGAUCCUUCCACAUCACUUACCAAAAUAUGUAACCGCAGUUUCUACAUCCUGCAGGCUUGGAUUGAAGACUGCUAUAGUGUAGACUUUGCAACAAAUACUGGUCUUCUGUGUACCCUAAAAGAAUUUAUUUCUUCCAAGGUUGCUUCAUUAAAUGGCUAUGGUGAGAGAUUGUUGUCAUUGCUUGAGGAUGCUUCUGCCAGGAAAAGUGGCAGUGCUGAUCAGUGCUCCAGCAUGGACAAAUGUGAAGAGGAAGGUGAGGAGGGCAGAAAAACAUUACAUUCCCUAUGUAAAAAGCUCUCAGAAGACGUUUCCAGAAAGAACUUCUACUGGAAACUAUCCAAAGGUGUGGGACCAAUUGCACAAUAUCAGAGAGAGCGACUGCACACCAGUUCACCAGUUUCACCAAAACUAUGCAAUUUAACAGAAGCUAAAGGGGAUGCAGUGGAACCAUAUCUCUUAACAGAGUACAGUGCACAACAGCUUUGUUGGCAGCUGACAUUACUGCAGCAGGAAGUAUUUCUUAAGUGUCAUCCAGUACACUUUCUAAAUUCAAGAGCACUUGGUGUUAAAGACAAAUGUGUUGCUGUGCAAAAGGCAGUUUCUACUGAGACAGUUUCACUUAAAGUCUGUAAUCUGUUUCUGUCGAAGUGCAUACAAGACCAGUAUCUUCUGCAAUUGUUAAGAAAUGCAGACAGUAUCAGCACCUGGGUUGCUGCUGAAAUUGUAACAUGUCACACAACUAAGCGGCAGGUGAGCUUGCUGUCAAAAUUUCUUCUUAUAGCAAAAUGCUGCUACGAACAAAGAAAUUUUGCCACUGCAAUGCAAAUCCUAGCAGGCUUGGAAAAUCUUAUUGUACGACAGUUACCAGCCUGGAAAAUUUUACCUGCAAAAGUAGCUGAGAUAAUGGAGGAACUCAAAGCUGUUGAGGUGUUUUUAAAAAGUGACAGCUUAUGCUUGAUGGAAGGAGACAGAUUCAAAACUCUUCCAACAAUUCCAUCAGCCCAUGUUUUGGCUAUGCACGUCCAACAGCUUGAAACUGGAGGAUUUACAAUGACAAAUGGAGCUCACAAGUGGACUAAACUUAGAAAUAUUGCAAAAGUUGUGAGCCAAGUUCAUGCGUUUCAAGAGAAUCCUUAUACAUAUACACCAGAUUUCAAGCUGCAGUCUUACCUCAGACAAAGAAUAACUCGUUUUAAAGAUGCAGACAUUUCUGCCUUGGCAGCUGACAACUGUGCCAACUUCCACCAGAUACCAGCAGAAAGACAUUCUCGAAAAAUUCAGGACACACUGCGCAGGAUGAAAGCAACAUUUCAGUAAUUAUUUAUGUUUCGUCUGUUCUAUUCCAAGUCUUGACUGUAAAACUGGAUUAAGUUGACUUCAUUUACUGGACCAAUUCCCAAGAAAAUACUUAAGAGAAGUGACUUAAAGUACCAUCUCAAGUUGAAAUUAUUAUAUUUCUUAACAUGGAAUUAUGAAAUGCUGACUAAUCAGAUUUGAAUCACAGAUCAGAAGAAUAAAAAUAGACAUAAAAGUAAAGAGAGUAUAGGUGAAAAGGAGUAUUACUUUUGUCACUGUUCUUUAGCAUAAAUAAAUAAUUAGCCUGAAAACAAGUAUCUAAAAAAUACUGUGAAAAUAAGUUAAAAUUACACUUCUGUUAAAAAGUUGAACCAGGAGAGUUCAGAGUAUAGUUCAUUAAAUGUUGAAUAUAUUUUUAUAUAGACAUAGUACAAUUAUAUUCUGUCACAGUGUGCAUUUAAUUCAUGGACACAGAUCUUCUGUUAUUCAUUGACUGUUGGUGUGUCUUGCUUUUAUGUUGAGUAUUAUGAAAACUACUGACUUAAAUAAUUGACUGUCUAUUUCUUGAAGCAUACUAAGGAAGGAGAAGAAUGCUAUCCUUCAACUUUUUUUUCUGUUUUUUUGGCUUUAAUGUCAUUAGACUAACCUAUUUCCAAAUGAAAGUAAGAUCUGAAUCCAAGUAAUACCAGUUUGUUGCUCUGCUUCUGCACUCAUGGCAUUGUGAAGACAGUAAAUGUGAAAUUGUUUUUUUAAUCUGUAUUUGGCAUAAGAGUCACUUUGCCAAUUUGUGUAUGUCUGUAUGUGUGCACAUUUGACUACGGCUUUUGCUUCUGAGGUUGCUUUUGUAGUUGCAGCACUCCAGCAGCAUUUAAUAGAAGAUAACUGUGUGAAAUUUGGAUCUGCAACUUGUAAAACUUUGGUGCUAACCUAGUCAUAGAGCUUGUAAGACCUUUUAAAUGGCAAUGGAAUGGGUUGCUAUUGCUAAAAAAUUUGUUGAGCUACCCAGGUUUAUGCAGAGCCAAAAUGUUAAGGCUAUAAAGUGGUUGCAAAUACAAGUAUUUCUACCAGAGGGAACAAUGGUAGUGUUGAAAGAGAGGUAGGGAAGGGCAAAAAACAACAAAAAACCCUCCAAAAUAAACUGUCCUGAGAGUGAUUUGCAUAGAACUGUGUUUAAAAACUUAAAAAGAAAAUAUUUUCAGAGAUGGGCAGAUAUGAACUAAGUGUCUUGUCAUGUGUUAGUGAUGGAGAAGCAUAACAAUGUUAGAAAUGGGAAUGUGCACAUGUGUAGUAUUUUGCAAAUUUUACUGUUGUAUUUGACAGAAGUGCAUGUGCACAUGUUAAAUUGUAGCUUUCUCAAUGUUUAAGAGGAAAGCAUCUCCUUUUCUCUUGUCAAUAACAGCAAUAUAUACAUCACAGGCCUCUCUCAUCUUUCUGAGUAAAAACAAGGUAUGUCAAUGCUUUCCAUUAGAUACCUCAGUUACUUUGCCAUACUAAUACAAUGAUACUGACUUUUGUCUCUUAUUUGUUUAAAUACUGGAGAUCUCAGUCCUCAACAGGGUUUUCUUGCGUUUGUUCUACUUUUAAUACGAUUUAUUUUGUUAUUUAUCAUAUGUAGGUUUAGCAUGUCAUUAAUAACAGUGUUCUGACUUAUCCUUAAGGAAGUAAAUUGUGUUGCUAUUUCUCUAAAAAUUGCCAAAUGUGAAAUCAUUUAGUCUUUAUCUCCUAUCUUUAUAUAAUACAAUUAUUUAAGAAUGUCAAUUACAACCUUAUUUCCAGACAUAUUUCAUAUAUUUUAUCUAUGUGCAUUUAUUUUAAAUAAUUGUUUUUAUUAGUAGUUUGGUUUUCUCUCAAUUAAACAUUACCAUUCACUUAAAGCCACGCCUUGCCUUUGAAAGACAGUGAAAUUUUAAGUAGCAUAAGCUUUACUAAUGUAAAGAACUCCACAAAACUUGCAUCACAUGAUCUUAAUAAAUGCAUUUUAUAUAGUUACUGGUCAGACUGUUGAAGUUGCUUUUGUGGAUUUUCUUACCAUUCACAUUUUGCACUCAUGAGAAUUAAUUCAUAUAUUUCUUACAGUUUUUAUCAGGAUAUAAAGCAACUACUAUAUCUACAAAAUAUUAUGUUUAUUCCAUGACAAUAACUGGUGCUAUACAAGAAUUUGAAAAUCAUCUCAUAUCUUCUGUAUAACGCUUUGGUGUAUCAGACCUUAUAUUGCUAUUUAUGCAUAGUAUUGAGUUAUGGUACUACUUUGGGGUAUUCUCAUCCAUCAGACAUUUUAGAUUUUGUAUUUAGGCACCACCCCACAACAACAACAGCAACAAAUAUAAAUAGCUAUUGGAAAAAAAAAAUCACUCCUUUACAAGGAAACUCGUUUAUUUUUGUUCAUGAACACUGGUGUAUGCACAUCUUGUAUGACACAGAUUUCAGAAUAAAGUUACGUCUAGCAUAUAACUGUACUGCUUAUUUAUGACUAACAAAUAGUAAGAGUUGGACUAAAGUUUUCUCUCUUUGUAGGUAAUGUCCUUUUAAAAGAAAAACCACGACAAAACACGUCAAAGAAUAAGUUCAGUUCUACCUAAUUGGCAAAAUAUUAUUGGCAUCAAGUAACUGUAUUGCAUAAAUUGUAUGCAGUCUGGCCCCAUGCUUCCAUUCCAAUACCAAACUGGAAUUUUGGGGGGAAAAAAUGGAAUUUUUUCUUUAAGCCAGAAUUGCCACCAGCUAUCUUAGCUCUUCUUCAUUUUUUCUGCAUUUCCCUGAUCUUGUUUUUGUGCUUAUUUUUCAAACAGUGACUCGUGGAGUUCUGAAAUGAAGUCUGCUCCUUGGGAAUCUUCCCAGUUGUUCUGUGUAUUGGUGCUUUUUGUGUGUCCCUUUGCAGGUGUCUGUCCCCAGGAUCCCUUGGGUUUUAAGGCCUCCUGCCAGAGAGCUGGAAAGUGUGUCCUAGUUAUACUAGCUCCAUUUGAAAUCAGGUUUCCAGCUCUAACACCUCCAGAAGCCUGCCAGGAAACAGGGAUUAAUUAAUUUGGAUCCUAUUAAUUAUUCUGUUGAAUCCCAAACAAAGAAGCUGGGAAAUCAACUUGGAUUCAUGAUUCUGACAAAUUUCUUUCUGUGGAAAACUUCCAACCACUUCUAGACUUUGCUUUAUGUAUUGGAUUGGUUUCAUAAGCAUUGCUGAGACUCAUCACUUCUGUGCUGCUGUCUGAAUUCCGAGAUCCACAGAUGUUCUACAGCUUGGCAGCCAUGCAGAUGUGGGGGAAGUAAACUAUCCUGGCUUACUGUAACGAGUAAUUUCCUGGAUGUGAAGUCUCAAUAUAACCAGGAGGUGGCACAAGAGACCCUUUGCAGACUUUCAGAUGUACGUGUAGCGCACUGUGAGCAAAGGUAACGUGAAAAACAGUCUUCCGGACGUCUGCCUUAAAUCUGCCCAUUAGAAACAUCCAAACACAAAAUGGCAGGGUUUGUUUUUUGGUUUUGUUUUUUUUUUUUUUUAAAUGUGUUUUAAAACGAACGUAUAUUUGCGUUCGGCAUUCAACUGCUCCCUUUAAUCUUUUAGAGAACACGCAAACACAGCUUCAUAAUUUUAUAUCUCAAUUACCCUCUGUGUAAUGCACUCAUUCCUGUAAACCUGGCAAAAGAUGUACGCUGCAUUGCUCGGAGGAAACUUAGACGUCAAAU